AUGAGCUAUUCCUGGGAAGAUUUAUUCCCCUUGGUAUCGGUUCGAAAACUAGUCAGAGACAUUUCUGAUCACAAUCCCCUUCUUCUCUCCUUGAAAGAUGGUAAACCAGAACCCCCUAGGAAAAAAGAGUUUCACUUUGAUCUUAGUUGGCUGAGCAAUGAUUUGUUUCUGCCUAAGGCCAAAGAAAUUUGGGAGCAGCCUGUUGAAUCGAAUGACCCCAUUGACAUCCUUAAUAUCAAGUUGAAACGGUUCAAAAAAUAUUUUAAAGGAUGGGGAUCCCAUGUUUUUGGUCAUGAGAGGAAAAGGAAGAAAGAGAUUCGCAUAGAGCUUGAAGAGAUCGAAAAGUUAGAGGAAGAUGGGAUUAUUAAUGCAGAAAAUUGCUGCCGAAGAGCUUCGCUCUUGGCUGAGCUCAAUAGCAUCCUAACUAAUGAGGAGUUCUUUAGACUCCAACAAUCUAGAGAGAGAUGGCUUUUGAAAGGGGACCAAAACACUGCGUACUAUCAUCGCAUUGCGAAUGGUAGAAAACGUAAGAACACUAUCCAGUCAUUCAUUGACGGGGAUAAUGUGAUCGAGGGCACAAAAAAUUUACUUGACCAUGCUACCUCAUACUAUAAGGAGUUGUUUGGGGCCGCCCCAAGCAAUCUUUUCCACCUUUCUCCUGAUACCUGGGGUGAGCAUGAAAAAUUGAAUGAU
rnacentral:rRNA from 1 species